GCGAAGGCAGCCUCCUGGGAUAACACUGACGCUCAUGCACGCCGGGGAGCAAACAGGAUUAGAUACCCUGUAGUCCACGCCCUAAACGAUGUCAACUAGCUGUUGGGGCUUCUUCGGGCCUUAGGUAGCGCAGCUAACGCGUGAAGUUGACCCGCCUGGGGAGUACGGCCUGCAAGAUUAAACUCAAAGGAAUUGACGGGGACCUGCACAAGCGGUGGAUGAUGUGGAUUAAUUCGAUGCAACGCGAAAAACCUUUACCUACCCUUGACAUGUCUGGAAUCCCGAAGAGAUUUGGGAGUGUUCGCAAGAGAACCGGAACACAGGUGCUGCAUGGCUGUCGUCAGCUCGUGUCGUGAGAUGUUGGGUUAAGUCCCGCAACGAGCGCAGCCCUUGUCAUUAGUUACGAAAGGGCAAUCCUAAUGAGACCGCCGGUGACAAACCGGAGGAAGGUGGGGAUGACGUCAAGUCCUCAUGGCCCUUAUGGGUAGGGCUUCACACGUCAUACAAUGGUCGGGACAGAGGGUCGCCAACCCGCGAGGGGGAGCCAAUCCCAGAAACCCGAUCGUAGUCCGGAUCGCAGUCUGCAACUCGACUGCGUGAAGCUGGAAUCGUUAGUAAUCGCGGAUCAGCAUGUCGCGGUGAAUACGUUCCCGGGUCUUGUACACACCGCCCGGGGUCACACCGUAUGGGAUGGGUUUACCAGAAGUAGCGAGCUCAACCGUAAGGAGGGCGAUUACCACGGUAGGAUUCAUGACUGGGGUGAAGUCGUAACAAAGGUAG
rnacentral:misc_RNA from 1 species